rfam:Schistosoma mattheei strain Denwood, Zambia genome assembly, scaffold: SMTD_scaffold0000184
AUCCAGCUAACGAGUCCCAAAUAGGACGAAACGCACGUCCUGGAU